ACAAUUCUAAGGUGAACUACUCCUGGACUUCGAGGUGGACUCGAACUUGAUAUAGUUUGCGCCUCCAACUUGGCUUGGAUGUCCCUUGCUAGUCCUCUCCACCUCCAUGGCUCUCUUCAAGUACUUCAUGGUCCUCUCCAUGGUUCCUAAUUAUAAUAAUAUCUUUAGGUAGCAAUCUAUUCUUAAAAUAACUAAAAAGAAUACAUAGGAACGUGGUCACCUUAUCGUUAGCAUGAAUGGUCAUACCUUAGUGUGUGAUGUCCUCAUCAUUCUUUCCUUCUUGAAAGCAAACAGUAAUUGAUUUGACCAUAGUUGUAGAAUAUGCCUGAUGUGCACAUGCCAAGCCACAGUAGACAUAUUGAUUUAUCUAGCAGCCAAGAUAUU
rnacentral:lncRNA from 1 species